rnacentral:lncRNA from 1 species
AAAACAAUUGGAAGAAGAAAGUAUUGAAGAGGGACUGAAAUGAAGACAAUUGAAAGUUGGAGGACUAAAGCACAAAUACUCAAAAGAUGUGCCGAAUGAGUGGCAUUAGAUUUGAUGGUGUCAAUCAUCAAUUGGAAGAUAAAAUUUGUUGAAAAGAUGAAGAAAUCGAAGAAAGAAGUCAAGAGAAGUAACAAGAAAGUUCAGGGACCAAAAUGUAAAAAACCACAUAGUUGGUUAUAUCUAUGCGACCGCAUAGUGUAACAAUCUAUGCGGUCGCAUAGAUGGAUGCAGGGAAAAUAUUGGGGCAUUUCAAAUGACCUAUGCGACCGCAUAGGUUCCUUCUAUGAGGUCGCAUAGAAGAAAGUUCGGGUGGUUUUCUGCAGUUUCCUUUUUUGACUCCAACUCUUUUUUUUUACCUAAUUUGGACACGCUAUAUAUACCCUAAAACACGUCC